rnacentral:rRNA from 1 species
GACGAACGCUGGCGGCGUGCCUAAUACAUGCAAGUAGAACGCAGUUGCGAACGGGUGAGUAACGCGUAGGUAACUGCCUCAUAGCGGGGGAUAACUAUUGGAAACGAUAGCUAAUACCGCAUACUGUGAGAUGGACCUGCGUUGUAUUAGCUAGUUGGUGAGGUAAAGGCUCACCAAGGCGACGAUACAUAGCCGGCCUGGGAGGGUGAACGGCAAAAAUGGGACUGGGAAACGGGCCAGGAUCCUGCGGGAGGGAGCCGUAGGGAAACUUCGGCAAAGGACGGAAGUCUGACCGGGCAAAGCCGCGGGAGUGGAGAAGGUUUUCGGGUCGUAAAGCUCUGUUGUUAGAGAAGCGGUACCUAACCAGAAAGGAACGGCUAACUACGUGCCAGCCGCCGCGGUAAUUC